GGGGCCCAGAGCAGUUGCCUGGACUGGCUGGAGCUUCCCCUCGCUCGCUACUGGGAGGACCCGCCGGAGCUUCCCCGCGCCACAUACGAGGAGGAGCCGCCAGAGACUUCCCCGCUCCCUUGCUGUUACCCUGAGGAACCCCCGGAGCAGAUUUGGCCGGACUUCCCCGAGGAACUGCCGGAUCUACCCCCCAGCCCGGGCUGCGAGGAGCCCAUGGUGUUGGACUUCCCGGGAGCGGACGCCGCGGACCAGACAACAAGAGGCAAUCAACCCUGAAAAAAUGCUGGAGCAUGAAUCACAGCUGACCAGAAAUUGUGAGUGUAUCAUCCAGCCAGCCCACUCUCAGUGAUACUGGAUUUCAGCUAGCAUUGCAGAUGAAGCAGCAUUGGUGCACAUACAGCUGUGUACAGGGGGUGCACAGAUGUCACAUUUGCUGGGAGAAUCCCUACCUGUGUGUGUGCUGGAGGAGGCUUGAGGACCUGGCUCAGCAGGACAGGGUGGUGGAAUGGGAGACUCCGUGGGACUCUAGUACAUCAGGUGGCAACCCAUCACACAUCCUUCUGUAAAUAAAUAUUUCCAUUUCCUAUAUUCAUUGUACUAUUCCAGUAUGUGUCCACGUGUUUAAGCUCCGGGAAGAUUGGAGCAAGUGCCCCUGUGAUGGAAGGGCAUUUCCCUGCUGCGUUCCUGUGUGUGCUUUUUCUUGGCCAGAGCCGCUGGCAGAAAGGACUCCAUAUUAGCCACAAGGGUGCUACAGUUACACUAUUAAAGAGCAUAAUGUAGCCCAGGAAAUGUCUGUCUUUUUUUUUUUAAGCAGUAGGAGAUAUUCUAAAAUUCAGCUUUUUAAGAUCUUGAAUGAACACAUUAGCAGGGAGUAAAUAUUAGUGAAAUUCAGAGCCAGAUUUGGUUUCUCUCUCCUUUAAAACAGGUUGAACAAAAACCUGAAUCUGAACAAUACAAAACUUUGGACCCUAUCCAGGAAGUGCUUCAUGUUCAGAAAUCCCAUUAGGAACCCAUUUCAACAUUGAUUUCACUGGGGGACCUUGCUGGAGCAGGCCUCUUCUGGGGUUCAAAAUUCUAUACAACAUGAAUCUUUCUGUGCAUAUAAACUUUGCAAUUCAGUCCAUUCUUAGAGUAGGCCUGUAUACAUUUGUAUGCACCCAUACCUUUUUUAAAAUGAUGUUUCCUUUCCAUUUGGUACUCUGAUUUGCCUGUAGCCAUUUAUGUCCAAUCUACGUUCAUAAGUUCAUUUCUUUUGCGGCAGCAUUGCCCAUGUAAUAGUAGCUAGAAUUAUUUUCCCCAUGAAUCUUGGCAGAGUGACUUUUGUAAUUUGCACACGCUCAUAUCCAAUUUCAAUCCAAUUUUCAUU